GAUGAACGCUGGCGGCGUGCCUAAUACAUGCAAGUCGAGCGAACGGACGAGAAGCUUGCUUCUCUGAUGUUAGCGGCGGACGGGUGAGUAACACGUGGAUAACCUACCUAUAAGACUGGGAUAACUUCGGGAAACCGGAGCUAAUACCGGAUAAUAUUUUGAACCGCAUGGUUCAAAAGUGAAAGACGGUCUUGCUGUCACUUAUAGAUGGAUCCGCGCUGCAUUAGCUAGUUGGUAAGGUAACGGCUUACCAAGGCAACGAUGCAUAGCCGACCUGAGAGGGUGAUCGGCCACACUGGAACUGAGACACGGUCCAGACUCCUACGGGAGGCAGCAGUAGGGAAUCUUCCGCAAUGGGCGAAAGCCUGACGGAGCAACGCCGCGUGAGUGAUGAAGGUCUUCGGAUCGUAAAACUCUGUUAUUAGGGAAGAACAUAUGUGUAAGUAACUGUGCACAUCUUGACGGUACCUAAUCAGAAAGCCACGGCUAACUACGUGCCAGCAGCCGCGGUAAUACGUAGGUGGCAAGCGUUAUCCGGAAUUAUUGGGCGUAAAGCGCGCGUAGGCGGUUUUUUAAGUCUGAUGUGAAAGCCCACGGCUCAACCGUGGAGGGUCAUUGGAAACUGGAAAACUUGAGUGCAGAAGAGGAAAGUGGAAUUCCAUGUGUAGCGGUGAAAUGCGCAGAGAUAUGGAGGAACACCAGUGGCGAAGGCGACUUUCUGGUCUGUAACUGACGCUGAUGUGCGAAAGCGUGGGGAUCAAACAGGAUUAGAUACCCUGGUAGUCCACGCCGUAAACGAUGAGUGCUGAGUGUUAGGGGGUUUCCGCCCCUUAGUGCUGCAGCUAACGCAUUAAGCACUCCGCCUGGGGAGUACGACCGCAAGGUUGAAACUCAAAGGAAUUGACGGGGACCCGCACAAGCGGUGGAGCAUGUGGUUUAAUUCGAAGCAACGCGAAGAACCUUACCAAAUCUUGACAUCCUUUGACAACUCUAGAGAUGGAGCCUUCCCCUUCGGGGGACAAAGUGACAGGUGGUGCAUGGUUGUCGUCAGCUCGUGUCGUGAGAUGUUGGGUUAAGUCCCGCAACGAGCGCAACCCUUAAGCUUAGUUGCCAUCAUUAAGUUGGGCACUCUAAGUUGACUGCCGGUGACAAACCGGAGGAAGGUGGGGAUGACGUCAAAUCAUCAUGCCCCUUAUGAUUUGGGCUACACACGUGCUACAAUGGACAAUACAAAGGGCAGCGAAACCGCGAGGUCAAGCAAAUCCCAUAAAGUUGUUCUCAGUUCGGAUUGUAGUCUGCAACUCGACUACAUGAAGCUGGAAUCGCUAGUAAUCGUAGAUCAGCAUGCUACGGUGAAUACGUUCCCGGGUCU
rnacentral:rRNA from 1 species